rnacentral:rRNA from 1 species
AUAGCGUAUAUUAAACUUGUUGCAGUUAAAAAGCUCGUAGUUGAAUUUCUGCGUUGCCCGACUCGGCUACUUGCCUUGUCUGGUUUCGCUUUUGGGGUUUUCCCCUUUUUACUUUGAGAAAAUUAGAGUGUUUCAAGCAGACUUGUGUCUUGAAUACUUCAGCAUGGAAUAAUAAAGUAGGACUUUGGUUCUAUUUUGUUGGUUUGUGAACCUUAGUAAUGGUUAAUAGGAACGGUUGGGGGCAUUCGUAUUUAACUGUCAGAGGUGAAAUUCUUAGAUUUGUUAAAGACGAACUACUGCGAAAGCAUUUGCCAAGGACGUUUUCAUUAAUCAAGAACGAAAGUUAGGGGAUCGAAGACGAUCAGAUACCGUCGUAGUCCUAACCAUAAACCAUGCCGACUAGGGAUUGGAGGUCGUCAUUUUUCGACUCCUUCAGCACCUUGAGAGAAA